rnacentral:rRNA from 1 species
GAUGAACGCUAGCGGCAGGCCUAAUACAUGCAAGUCGAACGGUGUCUUCGGACAUAGUGGCGCACGGGUGCGUAACACGUAUGCAACCUACCUUACAUUGGGGGAUAGCCUUUCGAAGGGGAGAUUAAUACCGCAUAAGACAGUAACUAGGCAUCUAGUAGCUGUUAAAGAUUUAUCGAUGUAAGCUGGGCAUGCGUCCAAUUAGUUAGUUGGUGAGGUAAUGGCUCACCAAGACGAUGAUUGGUAGGGGAACUGAGAGGUCAAUCCCCCACACUGGCACUGAGAUACGGGCCAGACUCCUACGGGAGGCAGCAGUAGGGAAUAUUGGGCAAUGGGCGCAAGCCUGACCCAGCCAUGCCGCGUGCAGGAAGAAGGCGUUCUGCGUUGUAAACUGCUUUUAUAUAGGAAGAAACGGCCCUUGCGAGGGACAUUGACGGUACUAUAUGAAUAAGCACCGGCUAACUCCGUGCCAGCCGCCGCGGUAAUAC